CGGAACGGGUGAGUAAUGCGUGACCAACCUGCCCCAUGCUCCAGAAUAGCUCUUGGAAACGGGUGGUAAUGCUGGAUGCUCCAACUUGACGCAUGUCUUGUUGGAAAGUGUUUAGUGGCAUGGGAUGGGGUCGCGUCCUAUCAGCUUGUAGGCGGGGUAAUGGCCCACCUAGGCUUCGACGGGUAGCCGGCCUGAGAGGGCGGACGGCCACAUUGGGACUGAGAUACGGCCCAGAUUCCUACGGGAGGCAGCAGGG
rnacentral:rRNA from 1 species